rnacentral:rRNA from 1 species
UGACGAUAUUCAACCAGAAAGUCACGGCUAACUACGUGCCAGCAGCCGCGGUAAUACGUAGGUGGCAAGCGUUAUCCGGAUUUAUUGGGCGUAAAGAGAGUGCAGGCGGUUUCUUAAGUCUGAUGUGAAAGCCUUCGGCUCAACCGAAGAAGUGCAUCGGAAACUGGGAAACUUGAGUACAGAAGAGGGCAGUGGAACUCCAUGUGUAGCGGUGGAAUGCGUAGAUAUAUGGAAGAACACCAGUGGCGAAGGCGGCUGCCUGGUCUGUAACUGACGCUGAGACUCGAAAGCAUGGGUAGCGAACAGGAUUAGAUACCCUG